rnacentral:rRNA from 1 species
GAUGAACGCUGGCGGCGUGCCUAAUACAUGCGAGUCGGGCGAACGGACGAGAAGCUUGCUUCUCUGAUGUUAGCGGCGGACGGGUGAGUAACACGUGGAUAACCUACCUAUAAGACUGGGAUAACUUCGGGAAACCGUAGCUAAUACCGGAUAAUAUUUUGAACCGCAUGGUUCAAAAGUGAAAGACGGUCUUGCUGUCACUUAUAGAUGGAUCCGCGCUGCAUUAGCUAGUUGGUAAGGUAACGGCUUACCAAGGCAACGAUGCAUAGCCGACCUGAGAGGGUGAUCGGCCACACUGGAACUGAGACACGGUCCAGACUCCUACGGGAGGCAGCAGUAGGGAAUCUUCCGCAAUGGGCGAAAGCCUGACGGAGCAACGCCGCGUGAGUGAUGAAGGUCUUCGGAUCGUAAAACUCUGUUAUUAGGGAAGAACAUAUGUGUAAGUAACUGUGCACAUCUUGACGGUACCUAAUCAGAAAGCCACGGCUAACUACGUG